GACGAACGCUGGCGGCGUGCCUAAUACAUGCAAGUAGAACGCACAGUUUAUACCGUAGCUUGCUACACCAUAGACUGUGAGUUGCGAACGGGUGAGUAACGCGUAGGUAACCUGCCUGGUAGCGGGGGAUAACUAUUGGAAACGAUAGCUAAUACCGCAUAAUAUUAAUUAUUGCAUGAUAAUUAAUUGAAAGGUGCAAUUGCACCACUACCAGAUGGACCUGCGUUGUAUUAGCUAGUAGGUGAGGUAACGGCUCACCUAGGCGACGAUACAUAGCCGACCUGAGAGGGUGAUCGGCCACACUGGGACGGAGACACGGCCCAGACUCCUCCGGGAGGCAGCAGUAGGGAAUCUUCGGCAAUGGACGAAAGUCUGACCGAGCAACGCCGCGUGAGUGAAGAAGGUUUUCGGAUCGUAAAGCUCUGUGGUAAGAGAAGAACGGGUGUGAGAGUGGAAAGUUCACACUGUGACGGUAUCUUACCAGAAAGGGACGGCU
rnacentral:rRNA from 1 species